rnacentral:rRNA from 1 species
UACGGAGGGCGCGAGCGUUGUCCGGAAUCACUGGGUUUAAAGGGUGCGUAGGUGGUCCGUUAAGUCAGUUGUGAAAUCCCCGGGCUCAACCCGGGAAAUGCUUCUGAUACUGGCGGACUUGAGGCCAGUAGGGGUCACUAGAACUGACGGUGGAGCGGUGAAAUGCGUAGAUAUCGUCAGGAAUGCCGGUGGUGAAGACGGGUGACUGGGCUGGUUCUGACACUGAGGCACGAAAGCGUGGGGAGCAAACAGG